rnacentral:rRNA from 1 species
GACGAACGCUGGCGGCGUGCUUAACACAUGCAAGUCGAACGGAAAGGCCCUGCUUUUGUGGGGUGCUCGAGUGGCGAACGGGUGAGUAACACGUGAGUAACCUGCCCUUGACUUUGGGAUAACUUCAGGAAACUGGGGCUAAUACCGGAUAGGAGCUCCUGCUGCAUGGUGGGGGUUGGAAAGUUUCGGCGGUUGGGGAUGGAUUCGCGGCUUAUCAGCUUGUUGGUGGGGUAGUGGCUUACCAAGGCUUUGACGGGUAGCCGGCCUGGGAGGGUGACCGGCCACCUGGGGACUGAGAUACGGCCCAGACUCCUACGUGAGGCAGCAGUGGGGAAUAUUGCACAAUGGGCGCACGCCAGAGGCAGCAACGCCGCGUGCGGAAUGACGGCCUUCGGGUUGUAAACCGCUUUCGCCUGUGACGAGGCGUGAGUGACGGUAAUGGGUAAAGAAGCACCGGCUAACUACGUG